GUGUAAGCAGCCAGUAAAUGUGCAAAUCUCUAGUUGGGCUUUAGCUGCUCUGAGGAGUUUCCCAGUGGAGCUAGGAUGGGAAUUCCACUCAUGCACCUAGCCCCUUUCCCAGGAGACAUCACUCUGGUCGGAAAACCGGGCAAACGAAGCAGGCAACCAUCGGAGAACUCUGAAUUAACCGCGGCUCCCAGAAGCUCCUGCCUCUCUGACAGCUGUCGCUUCGGCAGCCCAAGAGACGAAUUGUCCUCCUUCCUGGUGCCAGAGGACGCAGGAAAUUAGCCAGGUUGCAAGUUGCAAAGCAGCGGCUGCUGCCCCAGGAACUGGACGCGCCCCACCUCCAGCGACAGCGGCCGGCCUGGGCCUGGCAGCGGCUUCCUCUCGCUCGCCAUCGCCGGACAAAGCGCAGCCCAGGCAGGCUGAGAAGGCAGAGCUCCGAAGCACGCAGGAUGGAGCGGAGCAAAAGAAUGCGGCUCUAUUCUCGCAAGGGAAAUUAUAAAAAAGUUCAUGUUCACGGUUCCUAUCCACAUGACCGACAGCGGCCAAUGGAAGGGCCGAACAACUCAUAAAGUUGUAUUGCAAAGUUGUAAAUUUUCAUAAACAACAACGGAUUUAUGACCCUUUCCCCAUCACUAAGAGGAGGCAGCUCUUACACAGGCGCCAUCUUACCACCGAGGCUGUCCCGAUUUGGGGCUGCAGGUUUUACAGACCCUUUUAGGUCCGAUUUUAUUAAAAAGAGUCCUAAGAAGCUGGCCCAACCCAGUCAGGGGAUAAGAAUGGAGACUUUCGCAGGCCAGUCUCAGGAUGCUCUAAGCUACUUCCACCGCCUCUCGCCCCUGGUCUCUCUCGCCGCUAGCCCCUUCCCCAGCCACAGUCCUUCCUCAGCAACAGGACUUGACUAGGUUGCGCUGCCCGGUCUGAGGCCCAUGGCGGUCCAAGAAUC